GAUGAACGCUGGCGGCGUGCUUAACACAUGCAAGUCGAACGGUGAACACGGAGCUUGCUCUGUGGGAUCAGUGGCGAACGGGUGAGUAACACGUGAGCAACCUGCCCCUGACUCUGGGAUAAGCGCUGGAAACGGCGUCUAAUACUGGAUAUGUGACGUGACCGCAUGGUCUGCGUUUGGAAAGAUUUUUCGGUUGGCGAUGGCCUCGCGGCCUAUCAGCUUGUUGGUGGGGUAAUGGCUCACCAAGGCGUCGACGGGUAGCCGGCCUGAGAGGGUGACCGGCCACACUGGGACUGAGACACGGCCCAGACUCCUACGGGAGGCAGCAGUGGGGAAUAUUGCACAAUGGGCGGAAGCCUGAUGCAGCAACGCCGCGUGAGGGAUGACGGCCUUCGGGUUGUAAACCUCUUUUAGCAGGGAAGAAGCGAAAGUGACGGUACCUGCAGAAGAAGCGCCGGCUAACUACGUG
rnacentral:rRNA from 1 species